UAAAUACUACCUCCGUCCGGAAUUAGUUGUCACAGAGAUGGAUGUAUCUAGCCAGAUUUCAGAUUUCGGUGUUAGAUACAUCCAUUUCCACGACAAAUAAUUCCGGACGGAGGGAGUAAUAU
rfam:Triticum aestivum genome assembly, contig: Triticum_aestivum_CS42_TGACv1_scaffold_374631_5AL